GUUUAUUUACAGCUAGUGUACCUAAAGACUUGUUUCAUGAUUACUGUAGAAGCAGAUGAUCAUGACCAGUUUCCCUGCUCAUUGCCUUACCAGUCAGGAGAUACUUAAGUUAGCUUUAUGUCAGCAUCGUGUUCAAGUGCAUCAGUGCCUCUCAGGGAUCCUAUGGUGUGGGCUGCUGGCUUUUCUUCUGGUGGAGACCUGGAUCAGGACCAAGGCCUUUUCCAGAAUCAUAUUCUGGGACCCAAUAUAUGUGAAUGAAGAGGAAAAACAA